UACGGGGGGAGCAAGCGUUGUUCGGAAUUACUGGGCGUAAAGGGCUCGUAGGUGGCCAACUAAGUCAGACGUGAAAUCCCUCGGCUUAACCGGGGAACUGCGUCUGAUACUGGAUGGCUUGAGUUUGGGAGAGGGGCGCGGAAUUCCAGGUGUAGCGGUGAAAUGCGUAGAUAUCGGAAGGAACAUCAGUGGCGAAAGCGACUUCCUGGACCAAUACUGACGCUCAUGUGCGAAAGCGUGGGGAGCAAACAGG
rnacentral:rRNA from 1 species